rnacentral:lncRNA from 1 species
CGGAGGCGGGGCCAGCGCGGGCUGGAAGUGAGCGUUGAGAACUUGCAGGCUAGUCCCUGGGCCGCUGCGAGGGCUGGAGGAGCUACUCAAAGACGCCCGCUAAAUGUUAACAGCGCUCAACACUGCUGCUUCAAACGCCUCCCCGGCCUUGUCAGCUUGACACGCGCGGCGGGUCGGAGGCUCACUGGACCAGAAACUUGUCUGGCAGGACGGACUGGUUGGCCCCGCGGCAUUCCAGCCCAGUGUCAUCACCUUGAAAACAGGAGAUGCUUUUGCCUCACUGGGCGUCCAGAGGUGCGUCGGCCAACAAUUCCGAUCACAACCGCAGCGCCGUCUCCCAGAAACUCAGUACUGAAUCUCACAAAGGUCACCACCUAGGAUCCCAACACAGUGUGAGAUGCUAUGGGACGCCGUUGCCCUCCAGCUAGUCUCUGAGCAGUGGUGGACCUUGGGCUGCCAAAGCGGGAACAGGAAGGGCACAAGAUCUGCAUUAAUUCUAGUCUUAAUCCUGUUAGAAGGUGAUUAGUUUUCUUGACAUGUAUCCGCCACCCGGUCAUUACUGACAAGCUAACAAAUGAAAAAAAGAGAGAAACAAAGAGAAAAAAGAAAAAAGGCGGGCCUUCACACAGGACAAGGUUCAGGAGAGCACCCUUAUAGAAAUAGAUCAACUAUGUAAAUUCCUCAAGGUCUUUACUGACACGGUAAAAGUAAGUAAAGUGUUGAAAAUUUACUAACAAAUGAGCAAAACCAAAAGUCAAAUUAGGAUGCAUUGAAAAGCAGAACACAAAGACAUCAUUUUACCUCACCAAACAGAUCUUUGAAGCUGUGCGGUUAGUUUGGGUUGCACGUUUUCAAAAGGAUGUCGAGAAACCAUAAUUUGUUCCUUAUGGGGUGGAUAACUGAAAUGACAGAGAAGAUUUGAAAAUAAGUCCCUACUGAACAGAGAACUAUGGGGUGACUACAUUAAUAAAUUGUCCAAUUGUUUGGAGGAUCGGAAAUGAAGGAGUGCUUGAUAGUGAAGAAGAUAAUCAGAAUAAUGGCUGAAGCCAGUAGUAGGGUUUCCAUCUCUGGCUACUACCCUACCCUGCAUAAAGGAUUAGAAGUGCUCCAUUCUAACUCUCUGGAAGUCAAGAAGCCUGAGUUCUAGUGCUGCCAAUGCCACUAAUUGCAUGGCCUUGAACAGAAUAUUUAAGAGGCUACAAGAAAUUGAAUCAACAUAUAUUGCUGAGCAGCUGCAUGUGGAAAAGGAAGGGUGAGGAAUUAAGAAACGUAGGCACGUUUUUGACUUGGGUGGCCAGGUGGCUGGUGUUGUCAUUCCUGGAGACUGGGACUACAGGAGGAGAAAUAGGGUUGAAGGAAGAUGGAAGAGAAAAAAUGAGAUGCCUAGUGUUGAUCUAUGACAGUUAAUCUGACAGACAAAAAUCACUUACCCCUUGGAGCUUAUAUUCUUGGAAAGGUGGAGAGAGGAAAGACAGACCAAUAAACAAAUGAAUAUAUAAAAUGUUAGCUGAGUCUCGCUUUUGUUGCCCAGGCUGGAGUACAAUGGCCUAGUAUCUGCUCACCGCAAUUUCCGCCUCCCGGGUUCAAGCGAUUCUCCUGCCUCAGCCUCCCGAGUAGCUAGGAUUACAACCUCUACAGGUAUUAUCAAAGAGAAGAUGAGAACCUUGAACUGAGAGGACCUCACAAGCCUGUAGUGAAGGAAGACCCUGUUGCCAAGAUGAGGCAGGUCUUUCAGGAAGUAUUCCAAACAAAGGCAUUGUUAUCCUAGAAGAUGACAGCUCCAUGCAUGUUAUUAUCCCUGAAAUCCUUCCAGUGGGACAAGAUAUGGAAAUGGAAGACAGUGAUAUUGAUGAUCCUGAUGCUGUGUAGGCCUAGGUGCAGACGGUGGAGUUAAUCAUUCUCCUCAGUUCCUACUUGGUGAAUGUUUCAUGCAUCCGUGUGAAGAGAGUCCACCAAACAGGCUUUGUGUCUUUACCUCUCAACUGAACCCUGAACUCCUGGAGAAUAGAUGCUGUCGGGAAAUCACCAGCUUCUCACAAAGCAAUGAUCGUUGAAUAAAUCCUUGUUAAAUAAUGACAGUUUUCCUUUUUGGAUUGCUGUGAUCUCUACUCCCAUCACGACUGCUAAGCCUUGGGCAGGAGACCUUGUAUUCCCAGCCAGCUAUUCUUCCCACCGCCAUCCGUAGUUGGUCUCACUAUGUUGUGCAGGCUGGCCUCAAACUCCUGGGCUCAAGGGAUCUUCUCAUCUCAUCCUUCCAAAGGGCUGCGAUUACAAGUCUGUUUUAGGCACAUCUUGUAUCCCUCUUGCCUCAACUCUGGAAUUGGUUACCACUACUUCUGAACUGGGUGGCAGCUACAGACAGAGGUGGUAAGGGAGUAAUUGCUUAGGAUUGGACUGAGCUGAAGAAUGUUUAGCCUGGCGGUACUAGUGCAACUGGAAGAACAGAUGAACCAUAGUUUGCAACACAAAGCCAAGUCAACCAACAGAAGAAAUAUAUAUUUUAAGAAGAUUUUAUAUUUUCAACUGAAAACGUUCAUGUCAGUUGUGAAUGUAUUUGUAAUUGGCAGCCCCAAAUCAUCUCCCUUUUUAUUUUUGAGAAAGUGUAGUGUGCUUUAGUAUUUGGAACAUUCAUUUAAACCUAUUAAAUUAUAUUUUAAAAUGCACUGUUCCCAUUUCAAUCAAAAUUGGUUUUAUACUAUAUAUUGUAACACUAAAGUGCUUCUGGUAAUUUGCUUGUAAAACCAAAACUCUUUUAAAUUUAUCCACUUGUCCCUUUCAGAAAUGACGUGUUUGUGCAUAGGACUUGUUAGUAUUCUGAUUCAAACAAAACUACAGUACAUGUAAAAACAUAUUUAUAGAACAUAAAUAAGAAAAUGUGAACCCUGAAGAAUAUUUGAUGGAACUAAUGGACUAUUCUAAUUUUUAUGUGUGAAAAUGAUAAUGUGAUUUUUUAAAAGAGUCCUUCUUUUUUAGACAUGCACACUGAAAUAAUUAUAGAUGAAAUUAUGCAAUGUCUGUGAUUUGUUUCAAAAUAGUCUGGUGCUUAGGGAGAGAGAAGUGGGUGGGGAGAGAGAUGAAAUAAGCUUAGUUAUGAGUUGGUAAUUGUUGAAGCUGGGUCCUAUAUAUAUAUGGGGGUAAGGUCAUAUUCUAUUCUACUUUUGCAUAGAUUUGAAAUUUUUCAUAAUAAAAAGUUAAAAACAAAUCACACACCAAAAAAACUCCCAAACCCAACUGUCAUUAUUUAAUAACUUUGAACUUGGUAUGGACCUAAGAAGGCAUCUUUUACAAGGGAAAUGUGCAGUUCCAAGUCUUUUUCUUGAUGAUUGGGUCUGAAUGUGUUAAUCAAUGCUGCCCUGUCAUAGCCCCGACAUAGGGAAAAUGCUGAAAUGUGAUUUUUAAAUCAUAAAAAUGUGCCCAUAGUAAUAGCUCCAUCUUUUGCACAAUAUUUAAAUCAAUUCAUUGAUUUCCAGUUGCCUGAUAUUCUUAUUUCAGUAACAAAAUAAACGAUACAUAGUUCAGUAAAGUUGAAUCCAUUUGGGUUCAUUUGUGCUCGAAGUCUGAAGCCAAGUAAGAUCUGCUUCUUAGCUGCAUGUCAGGGGAUAAGGCAUCAGUCUCUUUGUAAGGCUUGGUUUCCUUUUUUUUCUUUUAUCGUACAGUUUCUAACCACGUUCAUGAAUAGAUAAAUUAAGGACAAAAUACAUCUAUAUCCCUCCUUGGCUCUUUGUUUAUUUGCAUAUACAGAAUUACUAAUAUAGUCCAUGUCUGUAAAUGUCUUAAAAAUGUCUCCAUUAAAAAAAUCCAGAAAAAUGA